CGGAUACAUCACGGAGCGGACAACAAUAGCGGCAACUCUCGUCGCACGCCACAGCAAUUGUUGAAAUACCAUGGCCACGCAGUCGUUCAGCAUCCACGGCAUUUUUAACUUCAGAAAGAUUACUGGUGGAAUGGAUGCGGCAUCGUGGCGUCACGCCG